UACGGAGGGGGCAAGCGUUGUUCGGAUUUACUGGGCGUAAAGGGCGCGUAGGCGGCGCGGUAAGUCACUUGUGAAAUCUCUGAGCUUAACUCAGAACGGCCGAGUGAUACUGCAGUGCUAGAGUGCAGAAGGGGCAAUCGGAAUUCUUGGUGUAGCGGUGAAAUGCGUAGAUAUCGAGAGGAACACCUGAGGUGAAGACGGGUUGCUGGGCUGACACUGACGCUGAGGCGCGAAAGCCAGGGGAGCAAACGGG
rnacentral:rRNA from 1 species